rnacentral:tRNA from 1 species
GGAAAGAUAUCGAAGUGGUCAUAACGGCCCUGACUCGAAAUCAGGUAUACGGCAACGUAUCGAGGGUUCGAAUCCCUCUCUUUCCG